rnacentral:rRNA from 1 species
AAGUGGUAACAAGGUCUCCGUUGGUGAACCAGCGGAGGGAUCAUUA